rnacentral:rRNA from 1 species
GAUUUCUGGUUAGGCGCAUUUGGCCCGCUUCGGUUACGAGGUUGAGUGCCGUUUUGCGCCUGCCAUCCUUCUAGAGUACGACUCUCCCUUUACUGGGUUGGGCCGGAAUCUAGAUCAUUUACUUUGAAAAAAUUAGAGUGUUUCAAGCAGGCUUUAUGCUAUGAAUACAUUAGCAUGGAAUAAUAAUUUAGGACUUCGGUUCUAUUUUGUUGGUUUCUAGGACUGAAGUAAUGAUUGAUAGGGAUAGUUGGGGGUGCUAGUAUUCAGCGGCCAGAGGUGAAAUUCUCGGAUUCGCUGAAGACUAACUUAUGCGAAAGCAUU